GACGAACCGUGCAAACGUUGUUCGGAAUCACUGGGCUUAAAGGGCGCGUAGGCGGGCUCGCCAGUCAGGGGUGAAAGCCCACGGCUCAACCGUGGAAGUGCCUCUGAUACUGCGAGUCUCGAGGGAGGUAGGGGCGUGCGGAACUUCCGGUGGAGCGGUGAAAUGCGUAGAUAUCGGAAGGAACACCGGUGGCGAAAGCGGCGCGCUGGACCUCUUCUGACGCUGAGGCGCGAAAGCCAGGGGAGCGAACGGG
rnacentral:rRNA from 1 species